CCAAUAGCGUAUAUUAAAGUUGUUGCAGUUAAAAAGCUCGUAGUUGAAUUUCGGGGUUAGUAGGUCGGUCGUGCCACUGGUAUGUACUGGCUUUACUGAUUCCUCCUUCUUGAAGAACUGUAACGUCAUUAAUUUGGUGUUGCAGGGAAACAGGACUGUUACUUUGAAAAAAUUAGAGGGUUUAAAGCAGGCUAACGCCUGAAUACAUUAGAAUGGAAUAAUGAAAUAGGAGGUUUGAUCCUAUUUUGUUGGUUUCUAGGAUUGACGUAAUGAUUAAUAGGGAUAGUUGGGGGCAUUAGUAUUCAAUUGUCAGAGGUGAAAUUCUUGGAUUUAUUGAAGACUAACUACUGCGAAAGCAUUUGCCAAGGAUGUUUUCAUUAAUCAAGAACGAAAGUUAGGGGAUCGAAGACGAUCAGAUACCGUCGUAGUCUUAACCAUAAACUAUGCCGACUAGGGAUCGGAUGAUGUUAAUUUUUUAAUGACUCAUUCGGCGCCUUACG
rnacentral:rRNA from 1 species